CCCCUCUCCGAGUCGCACCUGGAGAGUUUCCAGGACUCUACCAGUUUUGGCUAUGGGAGGGAGAGUCAAACAGAGGCCUGUCCAUUCCAUUCCUAGCUUGGAUAUUGGCUAGCGAGUGGAAGGCAAUCUGCUACAAGU
rnacentral:snoRNA from 1 species